UCUGUUGCUCCAGAAACGUACA
rnacentral:miRNA from 1 species